GACGAACGCUGGCGGCGUGCUUAACACAUGCAAGUCGAACGGAAAGGCCCUGCUUUUGUGGGGUGCUCGAGUGGCGAACGGGUGAGUAACACGUGAGUAACCUGCCCUUGACUUUGGGAUAACUUCAGGAAACUGGGGCUAAUACCGGAUAGGAGCUCCUGCUGCAUGGGGGGGGUUGGAGAGUUUCGGCGGUUGGGGAUGGACUCGCGGCUUAUCAGCUUGAUGGUGGGGUAGUGGCUUACCAAGGCUUUGACGGGUAGCCGGCCUGAGAGGGUGAACGGCCACAUUGGGACUGCGGUACGGCCCAGACUCCUACGGGACGCAGCAGUCGGGAAUAUUGCACAAUGGGCGGAAGCCUGAUGCAGCAACGCCGCGUGCGGGAUGACGGCCUUCGGGUUGUAAACCGCUUUCGCCUGUGACGAAGCGUGAGUGACGGUAAUUGGUAAAGAAGCACCGGCUAACUACGUG
rnacentral:rRNA from 1 species